rnacentral:RNase_P_RNA from 1 species
GAGAGUAUUUAGUCCAGCCGCUGGCUUCGGCCGGAGGAAAGUCCGGGCUCCACAGGGCAGGGUGCAGGAGAAAUUCCUGCGGGUGCGAACUCAGGGAAAGUGUCACAGAAAAGAUACCGCUCCUUCGGGAGUAAGGGUGAAAUGGCGGGGUAAGAGCCCACCGGGCGCAAGGCGACUUGCGUGCCAGGCAAACCCCACCCGGAGCAAGAUCGAAUAGGGGAGGCUGACGCGGCCCGCCGACUCCCGGGUACGAUCGCUUAUCCGCAUCUGCAAGGAUGCGGUCAGAUAAAUGGCUGGAAAGACUUAUGUCUUCACAAAACCCGGCUUAUCGAGUGCUCUCGUCU